CGAGCAGGUGCGAAAGCAGGUCAUAGUGAUCCGGUGGUUCUGAAUGGAAGGGCCAUCGCUCAACGGAUAAAAGGUACUCCGGGGAUAACAGGCUGAUACCGCCCAAGAGUUCAUAUCGACGGCGGUGUUUGGCACCUCGAUGUCGGCUCAUCACAUCCUGGGGCUGAAGUAGGUCCCAAGGGUAUGGCUGUUCGCCAUUUAAAGUGGUACGCGAGCUGGGUUUAGAACGUCGUGAGACAGUUCGGUCCCUAUCUGCCGUGGGCGCUGGAGAACUGAGGGGGGCU
rnacentral:rRNA from 1 species